rnacentral:misc_RNA from 1 species
UCCCUGGGCUCCCGCUGCUG